UACGAAGGGGGCUAGCGUUGUUCGGAAUUACUGGGCGUAAAGCGCGCGCAGGCGGUUCUUCAAGUCAGGGGUGAAAGCCCGGAGCUCAACUCCGGAACUGCCAUUGAAACUGUAGAACUUGAGGAUGAGAGAGGUGAGUGGAAUUCCCAGUGUAGAGGUGAAAUUCGUAGAUAUUGGGAAGAACACCAGUGGCGAAGGCGACUUACUGGACACAUAUUGACGCUGAGGUGCGAAAGCGUGGGGAGCAAACAGG
rnacentral:rRNA from 1 species